UUCUUUCUUCACUGACAAUGGCACCCCACUAAUGGAGUGUGCAAAUCCAGGAAGACCAGUGUUUGAACGUUGUGGGGUAAAGUGCCGAUAGAUGAAAUUUCAGUCUUUAUUCAAGAUCAAGUGCAACUGUCUCUUUGAGGAAAGUCCUUUGACCGCCAUUUCUCCCCUUCAGAAGGCAAACACCUGGGGGAGAAGAUCUGCUUAAGGACCUGGUAACUGACAAAGAAUGGAAUGGGAGCGAGAACCGCCUAGCCAUCCCUUCUCCUUGCACAGUCAUGAAACAAAAGUUGAAAAGGAGCCUGGUUUUACUUGACCAGUCAUAAAUUACCAUAAAAUAAAAUGAGAUAUUAGG
ensembl:lncRNA NRG1-IT1 NRG1 intronic transcript 1